CCCCGCCCCCGUAUCAUGACAAACAAAAGAGGAUAUGAGAUGUAUUUAUUCUUUUGUAAGACGCAGAAGUAUCAAUUCCAGGAGAUGUUGAGUUUUCCUCAUUUACUUUGGAGUUUAUGUAAACUGAGACUUGUCUUCUUCAAGAUGCUCGUGACAUAGUAAAGAAGGCCUCCAGGCAAACGAAUGCAGAUAGCCCAGCCUGGAAAGAACACUGAAUCACCCUCCCGGGGCCUGAAAGAUAGCAUCCACAACAGGAAACAAAAUCGAGAAAGAUAUCUCUUCAUUUUGUGGAAGUGUCUGCUUGGAAGCCCCAGAGCUGAGAGGAGUAGGAGGUGAUGGUGAGUCUGGAGGAGAGAGAGGGGCAAUCAUUCAGCAUCGAUGUGUCUCAUCGGAGGGUCAGGUUCUGAAGCCAGCCACAAGAUGAAGACCACAGACAAUCAAAACUGCCCUUGAACCUCUCUUAGGAGGGUGCCAUGCCAGGGACUGGUGGACUGUUUCUCAGCCAGUACCUGCCCCGUGCCCCCCUACUCUGACCCUCUCUUUUUCACAUAAUCAAACUUACAAAAGUUAAAUGCAUGUAGAAUUUGACUCCACUGUUCUACCUAGUCCACAGGGAAGACUGAACGAAGUACUAAUAAAAUAUUCUAGAAUCAAGGUCUACAUGAAGGGUAUUUCUUUAAUUUGGUGGAGUUUCUUAGUUAAAGAAGAGAUGGCUAAACUCCAGAAUCAGUUUUUGUUUUGUUUUGCUAUGGAGGCUUCAAAAAAGGGAAGCUUUUGUAUGGAUAUCCCUGGGAAAAGGAGAAUGAAUUUUAUGAUUACUGAAUUUAGAGAAAUUUAAAUGCAAAAGGAAAUCUGUCUCUGCUGCCCUCGCCCUCCUCUUCCCAUCCCUUAAAAAACAAAAACAAAAUUCCUGGUUUUCUCGUAUUUCCUCUUGAAGACUUGAUUCAGGCAUCAAAGCCUUCGAUGGAGACCAGUUUCCUCAACAUGUUGCUCUUUCUGCCUCCCUCUCCC